ACAAUACUAAGGUGCAAAGUGGGGAAAAGUAAACGAUGACCCAUCACCAAGUCUACGUUAGAAUGAUACAUUAAUAUGUAGAAAUGAUUGUGAACUUUGGGUAACUCUGUAGUUUACAUGAUUGU
rfam:Photorhabdus asymbiotica subsp. asymbiotica ATCC 43949 BAC clone 8